GAGAGAGAGGGAGAGGGGGGAGGAGAUGAGUUUUCUGACCAGUUUCAACUUUUCCUUUCUUCUUUUCUUUCCUUCUCUUUUUUUCUGGGACCGUGAAAUCCAUUGUGCCUCUUAGAGAGCUCAAGUGGGUCGCUUGUUGGUCUUCGUUCUUUCGAAGUCCCCUGCUCUCCCUAACUUCUUGCGCUUCUUCCUCUGCGCUGUCUAUGCCCGCCUCGCGACUUCCCCUUUUUUCCCCACGCUGAGUAGUCUCUUCCCUUCUUUCCCAUGCGCCCAUUUGCCUCGUUCUGGACUUCUUCUCUUGGCGGCUUCGUUUCUUGAUUGUUGACAGAAGGGGCGAAUCUUCACUUGUCUGCGAAGGAGGGGGGGGGGGGGGGUAUGUUAUCUUCCUGUUUAAGCAUCUGGGCUUCUUGAUAUCGGGCAAAUCUUUACUGGGUAUGGGUUGAUAAUGGCUUUUGGAGCACUGGAUUGGUUGGGGUUGGUCUGAGGUCAACUCUGUUCUUUGGGGGGUAGAUUUUUAUGUAUUGAGUGGAUUGCGGUUUGAGUGAUUGGGGGAUUUCAUGCUUGGUCCAAGACAAUGGAGAUGUCUAUGGCCGGACUUCUAUUCCUUUAGUAUUCUUUAUCGUGGAUUGGUGAGGAGACAAUGAAGAACCUUCUCAAGAAGCUCCACAUCAUGUCGAAUCAAACAGAAGAUAGGGAAGAGCUUGGUUCAUCUAUGGGCGGUAAGACCUGCGACGUAGUAUCGUCGCCCGAUAGACUCACGCAAGCGCGAUCGUAUCAUUUAAGCGACCACAAACCCUUUUCAGGGCUUUCUUCUUGGUUACACUCGGUUUCUAGUAAGCACGGACAUGGUGCCCCUUCAUCUUCGAAUGUGAAUAAGGGAGAGCCAAUGGAGCCAUCCGAUUCUGUCAUUGUCAGCGGAGUGAAUAAUGAUCCAGAUGCAGCUUUGCAGGAUUCGGAGUCUAACUCUAGAGAUCCUGAUGUAGAGGAGGAGUAUCAAAUACAAUUGGCGAUGGAGCUGAGUGCGAGGGAGGACCCUGAGGCAGUUCAAAUUGAGGCUGUCAAGCAGAUUAGUUUGGGAUCUUGUGCUCCAGAUAAUACUCCAGCCGAGGUUGUUGCUUAUAGAUACUGGAACUACAAUGCUCUUAGCUAUGAUGACAAAAUCGUGGAUGGUUUUUAUGAUCUAUAUGGGGUCCUGACUGCGUCAACCUCAGGGAGAAUGCCUUCACUUGUUGAUUUGCAAGGAACACCUGUAUCUGAAAAUAUCGCUUGGGAAGCAGUUUUGAUCAACAGAGCUGCAGAUUCAAAUUUAUUAAAACUGGAAGAGAAAGCCCUAGAGAUGGCAGUCAGAUCAAGAUCAGCCUCUCUUGGUUUGUUACAGAGUAAUCUGGUGAGAAACUUAGCUGUUUUAGUUUCGGACUACAUGGGUGGACCAGUUGCAGAUCCAGAGAACAUGUUAAGAGCAUGGCAAAGUCUUGGCUAUAGUUUGAAAUCAACACUAGGUAGUUUGGUUUUGCCUCUUGGUUCCUUAACCAUCGGGAUGGCUCGGCAUCGUGCUUUGUUGUUUAAGGUUUUGGCUGACAGUGUAGGCAUCCGAUGCCGGUUAGUGAAGGGGCAGCAGUAUACAGGUUCAGAUGAUGUAGCAAUUAACUUUGUAAAGCUUGAUGAUGGAAGGGAGUACAUAGUUGACCUCAUGGCUGAUCCAGGCACUCUCAUACCAUCUGAUGCAACGGGGUCACAUGCAGAAUUUGAUGAAUCAUACUUAUCGGUCAGCCCUAUGUCAGGAGAUUCAUCACAUGCUGCCUCUUCUAGUAGCGGAGUUACCAGUUCGUAUGAAGAGCAGUUAGAAUUUGGGACACCUGACAAGAGAUCUAGGUUCAUAACCAGUGCUACUUCAGGAAAUGAGUCCAUUAAUGAAGGUGAAGUACUGGCUGGUGUGAAUCUAACUAGGCCAAUCAUGGUGAAAGAAGGAGGCAAGAAAUGCUCGGAAGACCUGAAAAAUCAAUCCAGUUUAAAUAAGUUGGGGGCCAGAGAGAUCCCGGGAAGGCCUAAUUACCCUUACACGCAUGCAAGAUCUCCUUCAUGGACGGAAGGUGUGAGCUCACCUGCUGUUCGCAGGAUGAAAGUAAAAGAUGUUUCAGAAUACAUGAUUGAUGCUGCCAAAGAGAACCCGCAGUUAGCUCAGAAGCUUCACAAUGUAUUACUUGAAAGCGGUGUCGUUGCUCCACCGAACUUGUUUAGUGAAAUUUAUCCUGGGCAGUUAGAUGCAUCAACUGCUGAGACCAAGUCACCAGCUGGGGACAAGCCUCUGAUAGGAAAUAAGGAUGAAAAGAGCCAUCAGGUUGGAAUUCAAGAUACUAAGGGUCAGGAUGAUAGAAGUGCACCUUGCCUUUUGCCUCCUUUGCCCCCCUAUAAACCGCAUUUAAAAGCAACACUCCCUUGGGGUCCAUCAGAGCAACCUAAACCUGUAGAAGGUUUAGGAUUCAACCCUUUAUUAGAACCGCGGGAAGCAACUGGGCAAUUGAUUUUGUCUCAAUAUGAUGCCACUCCGCCGGUAUAUGUGAAAAAUGUCCCUGUAGCGGCAGCGGCAGCAGCAGCUGCUGCAGUGGUGGCGUCGUCCAUGGUAGUUGCUGCUGCAAAGUCGAAUACGGACUCGAAUCUUGAAAUUCCUGUUGCAGCUGCCGCCACGGCAACAGCUGCAGCCGUGGUGGCAACUACUGCGGCUGUCAAUAAGCAAUAUGAAGCGGGGGUGAAAAGUGAUGGAGAUCCAGAUUCUGGUGGGUCCGAGCCACGAGGGAGUGCUAAUCGGGAGAGUGAUGCUGCGGGAGUAAAUUCAGAAGGUGAGAGGGUUUCUGACAGAUCAACUGGUAAUGAUAGCGCAAAAUCAGAUAUUGCCCUUGAUGAUGUUGCGGAGUGCGAGAUUCAAUGGGAGGAGAUCUCCUUGGGAGAGCGUAUAGGACUAGGAUCCUAUGGGGAGGUAUACCGUGGGGAAUGGCAUGGAACUGAAGUUGCAGUUAAGAGGUUCCUAGACCAGGAUAUUUCUGGUGACUUGCUUGAAGAGUUCAAAAGUGAGGUCCGGAUAAUGAAGAAAGUUAGGCAUCCGAAUGUCGUUCUUUUCAUGGGAGCUGUAACUCGUCCUCCAAAUCUAUCAAUUAUUUCAGAGUUUCUUCAGAGAGGAAGUUUAUAUAGGUUGAUUCACCGGCCUAACAAUCAAUUAGACGAGCGAAGGAGGUUAAGGAUGGCCCUUGAUGCGGCCCGGGGAAUGAAUUAUUUGCAUAACUGUAAUCCAGUUAUAGUACACCGCGACUUGAAGUCCCCCAACCUGCUUGUUGAUAGAAAUUGGGUCGUGAAGGUUUGCGAUUUUGGAUUAUCUCGGAUGAAGCAUAGCACAUACCUCUCAUCUAGGUCCGCUGCUGGAACGGCAGAGUGGAUGGCUCCAGAGGUGCUGAGAAAUGAACCUUCAGAUGAAAAGUGUGAUGUCUUUAGCUUCGGGGUCAUAUUAUGGGAGUUGUCUACGCUUAAACAACCUUGGGGAGGAAUGAAUCCUAUGCAAGUCGUUGGCGCUGUUGGCUUUCAGCACCGUCGGCUCGAGAUUCCGGAUGACAUGGACCCUGCCAUCGCGGAUAUCAUCAAAAACUGCUGGCAAACAGAUCCAAAGUUGAGACCAACGUUUGCCGAGAUCAUGGCUGCGCUGAAGCCCCUGCAGAAGCCCAUAACUAGCGCCGCAAUCCCGAGGCAAGUCCACUGAUGAGCAAUGAGCGUGACAGUGUCCAAUUUGUUAGAUGAGGUGUCUGGUCGAAGUAGCAGAAUCAUGAAUUGAACGAUGUUGGCACAUCCCAUUUCAUUUUGGAGGCAAUUUCUCCAUUAUCGGGAAACUACAUGAAGAUCGAACUUCUGGGGAUGGUCAGUCCGAUGCACGGCGAUUUGGCAAUUGUGAACUGUAAAGUCCGCGAAAUAUCUCGCUACUCUCACGGACCGGAUAAGACGCCCAUCGAAACCCCGGCGGUUGGGCCAACAUGGUUAUUUGCACCUGAUGGUGCACGAGUUCGAGCGCACGGCAGUGCAGAUGCUUGUCGCACGGUGGUGCCGAUGUUAGAGAAUCUUGCAACGAGCGUGUGAGCUGAUCAAUCAUCCAGCGAAAGGAAGAGAGGUGGCCGUUUUCACAUAACAAUGAUGCAAUACAAUUAGGAGGCUAGACUCGGUUUGUUUCAUCAGAUGAGCAGUAAGUUCAAAGAUGGGGCGGGCUUCACAAAUGCGUUCCUUAUUUCAA